GUGGGAACUACACUGCAGGACCCACUUUUCCACAGCAGGUCAACUGCCGACUUGCUCUGCGACCUUGGAUAAAUCCCUUUGGUUCUCUGUGUCAGUUUUCCUGCCCAUCAAAUGCGGAUGAGAGGGUGUGUGUUGGAAGCGCUUUAAAAUUAUAUGGAAAAGCCAGGCGUUGUGAUUGUGGUAAUUAUUGCCUAACACUUCUGGGUGAGGCAUGGAGAUUCCUGCAAGAGCGACCCCUCCAGGAUCAGGCUGAGCAGGUCACUGUCCGAGGGAAGACCAGUGUGGCACAGCCUGCCCCCUUAAGCCAGCUGAGAGGUCCAGGCUAACUCACCAGUGUCCGGGGCCCAGGGCAGGCUGAGGCCUGGAAGCUCACACCCACACUUCACUCUGCCCUCCACUGAUCCAAGCUUCUAUCUGCCCAGUCCCAGCCCCAGGGACAGGCCAAGAAGUCAUUUCCCCUAAACAGCCUUCCUGCCCAAUCCUGAGCGUGUCUUUUCAAAAGGGUAAGUCAUGGAAAAAUGAGUGGCAAACAAGAGCAGUGCCAGCAUCUUCUCUCUGCUUUAACGAGGCCUCAGAGACCUUCCCCCACCACCCAUCCCUUCCAGAGGAAGUGGGCGGGAGGCGGCUCCAGACCCCUCCCUCGGCCGUCCCAGGCCUGACCGGGGCUCCUCGGCCCACGUCCGUCCGCCUUUUUCUGUUUAUACUGAGAGAGGAGCUUCUGCUGAGCUUAAGUGCAGUUCUGGCCCUUCUGUUUGUUUUUAAGUCAAGUUACAACUUUGCUCCUGGAUUUAUUGCAAAUUCCAGUUAUCUUCUGCUCAGGGUCUCUGCCUGAGCUCUCCUGCCCUCCCAUGGACCUACAACCAGGGGCGGGGGGGAAGGGACAAGGGACACAUGGACAACAGAUUGAUGGGCACAGGGGAACGACACCCCGGGAAGAGCCACGGGCCGCCCCUCAUGGUGCUGGAGAGCAAGGCUGGCAACACAGGAUUGGCCAUAGGUCAGCCAGGGAGGGCCGGGCCAAAGGAAGUGCCAACAGCCUGUCCGAACGGAGUUCCCUGGUUCAGGGGGUUUGCAAGAGACACUCACCAGCUUCAUAACCAGCCUCAUGAUUUGGGGGGAUGGAGGAGCAGAUCCCAGAGGCUGGAAAAGCAGCACCUGCUGGAACUUCAUUGCCAAUGCACUUGUCCUCCCAAUGGGGUCUUAGCCUCCCCUGGCUCCGGAGAGCAGCUGCAGGCAGCUGGGUGACUGCGGAGAGCCCCUGAGCGGGUUGCAGGCCAGGGGAUCAGCCGCUAAAGGAGUUCCCAAUCCCACAUUCCCCUUCAUAUCACAGGCCAAACGUAUGAAACUCAGGCCUCAGCAUUCCAGCCCAAGACCUCGCUCUGGGGGUUGAAAGAAGGCAAACAGGGCAGGAGCCAUGCUGCUCUCUAAACAGGUGCUAUUGCGAAGGAGUAGAAGGACUUUCCCCAGCAGGUUCACAGGCCAGGCCCUGCGUGUCACCCCAUCCAGUGCUCUCAGGCCCUGGCUCUUGUUUUUCUUUCAAGGCCGAACCCAAGGCGUGUGGAAGUUCCAAGGCCAAGGGUCAAAUCAGAGCUAUAGCUGCCAACCUACGCCACAGCCACGGCCAUGCCAGAACCGAACUGCCUCUGAGACCUACACAGCAAUGCCAGAUCCUCAACCCACGGAGCAAGGGCGGGGAUUGAACCCACAUCCUCCUGGAUACUAGUCGGGCUCUUAACCCAUUGAGCCACAGUGGGAACUCUGGGCCCUGGCUCUUCUUCAUCAGUCAUCACUUCACCUCCUCCUCCUCUCUGGCGUGGUCCCUCCUCCUGUCUCCACCUCCACUCCGCUCCACCUCGGCCACCUACCUGCCUGCC
ensembl:lncRNA